GACGAACGCUGGCGGCGUGCUUAACACAUGCAAGUCGAACGGAAAGGCCCUGCUUGCAGGGUACUCGAGUGGCGAACGGGUGAGUAACACGUGGGUGAUCUGCCCUGCACUUCGGGAUAAGCCUGGGAAACUGGGUCUAAUACCGGAUAGGAGCCAAUUUCAGUGUGAUGGUUGGAAAGUUUUUUCGGUGUAGGAUGAUCUCGCUGGCUAUCAGCUUGUUGGUGGGGUAAUGGCCUACCAAGGCGGCGACGGGUAGCCCGCCUGAGAGGGUGGACGGCCCAAUGGGGACAGGGCUACGGCCCGCACCACUGCGGGAGGCAGCAGUGGGGAAUAUUGCAAGAUGGGGGCAAGCCGGGUGCAGGAGGGCCGCGUGGGGAGUGACGGCCUUCGGUUUUAAAACUCUUUUCGCAGGGACGGAAGUUUUUUUGAACGGUACCUAGAAAAAAGGCACCGCCAAACUAGGU
rnacentral:rRNA from 1 species